CAGCAGCCGCGGUAAAACGUAGGGUGCGAGCGUUAAUCGGAAUUACUGGGCGUAAAGGGUGAGUAGGUGGUGGUUUAAGUCCGUUGUGAAAGCCCUGGGCUCAACCUGGGAAUUGCAGUGGAUACUGGAUCACUAGAGUGUGUCAGAGGAUGGUGGAAUUCCCGGUGUAGCGGUGAAAUGCGUAGAGAUCGGGAGGAACAUCAGUGGCGAAGGCGGCCAUCUGGGACAACACUGACGCUGAGGCACGAAAGCGUGGGGAGCAAACAGGAUUAGAUACCCGCGUAGUCCCUGUCUCUUAUAC
rnacentral:rRNA from 1 species